rnacentral:rRNA from 1 species
AUUGAACGCUGGCGGCAUGCCUUACACAUGCAAGUCGAACGGCAGCACGGGAGCAAUCCUGGUGGCGAGUGGCGAACGGGUGAGUAAUAUAUCGGAACGUGCCCAGUCGUGGGGAUAACGUAGCGAAAGCUACGCUAAUACCGCAUACGAUCUAUGGAUGAAAGCGGGGGAUCGCAAGACCUCGCGCGAUUGGAGCGGCCGAUAUCAGAUUAGGUAGUUGGUGAGGUAAAGGCUCACCAAGCCGACGAUCUGUAGCUGGUCUGAGAGGACGACCAGCCACACUGGGACUGAGACACGGCCCAGACUCCUACGGGAGGCAGCAGUGGGGAAUUUUUGGACAAUGGGCGCAAGCCUGAUCCAGCAAUGCCGCGUGCAGGAUGAAGGCCUUGGGUUGUAACUGCUUUUGUUACGGAACGAAACGGUGAGCUCUAAUACAGUUUGCUAAUGACGGUACCGUAAGAAUAAG